GAAAUGCGAUACUUGGUGUGAAUUGCAGAAUCCCGUGAACCAUCGAGUCUUUGAACGCAAGUUGCGCCCGAAGCCAUUAGGCCGAGGGCACGCCUGCCUGGGUGUCAGUCAACAG
rnacentral:misc_RNA from 1 species